rnacentral:rRNA from 1 species
GUGAACUCGAAGAGUAGGGCGGGACACGUGGUAUCCUGUCUGAAUAUGGGGGGACCAUCCUCCAAGGCUAAAUACUCCUGACUGACCGAUAGUGAACCAGUACCGUGAGGGAAAGGCGAAAAGAACCCCGGCGAGGGGAGUGAAAAAGAACCUGAAACCGUGUACGUACAAGCAGUGGGAGCACCUUCGGGUGUGACUGCGUACCUUUUGUAUAAUGGGUCAGCGACUUAUAUUCUGUAGCAAGGUUAACCGUAUAGGGGAGCCGCAGGGAAACCGAGUCUUAACUGGGCGUUAAGUUGCAGGGUAUAGACCCGAAACCCGGUGAUCUAGCCAUGGGCAGGUUGAAGGUUGGGUAACACUAACUGGAGGACCGAACCGACUAAUGUUGAAAAAUUAGCGGAUGACUUGUGGCUGGGGGUGAAAGGCCAAUCAAACCGGGAGAUAGCUGGUUCUCCCCGAAAGCUAUUUAGGUAGCGCCUCGUGAACUCAUCUUCGGGGGUAGAGCACUGUUUCGGCUAGGGGGUCAUCCCGACUUACCAACCCGAUGCAAACUACGAAUACCGAAGAAUGUUAUCACGGGAGACACACGGCGGGUGCUAACGUCCGUCGUGAAGAGGGAAACAACCCAGACCGCCAGCUAAGGUCCCAAAGUCAUGGUUAAGUGGGAAACGAUGUGGGAAGGCACAGACAGCCAGGAUGUUGGCUUAGAAGCAGCCAUCAUUUAAAGAAAGCGUAAUAGCUCACUGGUCGAGUCGGCCUGCGCGGAAGAUGUAACGGGGCUAAACCAUGCACCGAAGCUGCGGCAGCGACACUAUGUGUUGUUGGGUAGGGGAGCGUUCUGUAAGCCUGCGAAGGUGUGCUGUGAGGCAUGCUGGAGGUAUCAGAAGUGCGAAUGCUGACAUAAGUAACGAUAAAGCGGGUGAAAAGCCCGCUCGCCGGAAGACCAAGGGUUCCUGUCCAACGUUAAUCGGGGCAGGGUGAGUCGACCCCUAAGGCGAGGCCGAAAGGCGUAGUCGAUGGGAAACAGGUUAAUAUUCCUGUACUUGGUGUUACUGCGAAGGGGGGACGGAGAAGGCUAUGUUAGCCGGGCGACGGUUGUCCCGGUUUAAGCAUGUAGGCUGGUURUCCAGGCAAAUCCGGAUAAYCAAGGCUGAGGUGUGAUGACGAGGCACUACGGUGCUGAAGUAACAAAUGCCCUGCUUCCAGGAAAAGCCUCUAAGCAUCAGGUAACAUCAAAUCGUACCCCAAACCGACACAGGUGGUCAGGUAGAGAAUACCAAGGCGCUUGAGAGAACUCGGGUGAAGGAACUAGGCAAAAUGGUGCCGUAACUUCGGGAGAAGGCACGCUGGUGUGUAGGUGAAGYCCCUGCGGRUGGAGCUGAGACCAGUCGAAGAUACCAGCUGGCUGCAACUGUUUAUUAAAAACACAGCACUGUGCAAACACGAAAGUGGACGUAUACGGUGUGACGCCUGCCCGGUGCCGGAAGGUUAAUUGAUGGGGUUAUCCGUAAGGAGAAGCUCUUGAUCGAAGCCCCGGUAAACGGCGGCCGUAACUAUAACGGUCCUAAGGUAGCGAAAUUCCUUGUCGGGUAAGUUCCGACCUGCACGAAUGGCGUAAUGAUGGCCAGGCUGUCUCCACCCGAGACUCAGUGAAAUUGAACUCGCUGUGAAGAUGCAGUGUACCCGCGGCAAGACGGAAAGACCCCGUGAACCUUUACUAUAGCUUGACACUGAACAUUGAGCCUUGAUGUGUAGGAUAGGUGGGAGGCUUUGAAGCGUGGACGCCAGUCUGCGUGGAGCCAACCUUGAAAUACCACCCUUUAAUGUUUGAUGUUCUAACGUUGGCCCCUUACCGGGGUUGCGGACAGUGUCUGGUGGGUAGUUUGACUGGGGCGGUCUCCUCCCAAAGCGUAACGGAGGAGCACGAAGGUUAGCUAAUCCUGGUCGGACAUCAGGAGGUUAGUGCAAUGGCAUAAGCUAGCUUGACUGCGAGCGUGACGGCGCGAGCAGGUGCGAAAGCAGGUCAUAGUGAUCCGGUGGUUCUGAAUGGAAGGGCCAUCGCUCAACGGAUAAAAGGUACUCCGGGGAUAACAGGCUGAUACCGCC